UGUAUGUAGGCCUAAAGGAACCUCCAGCUUCCUAGGCUAAUGUAACAAGUGGUCCUAAGUUGAACGGUGAAGAGGGUCCCAAAGAUGAGGGAUGCUGUUCGUCACGGAUGGGAUCCCCGAGUACCAUUUUCCUCUGACACCCUCCUGAGGAGUCAUCACUGCAGGGAACGAUUCCGCCUUGGUGUAGCCGCCUCCUCACUCUGUUCCUGAAGGUCUCUUCUCCCGCUGGAAUCUAUAUUUUGAGGAAGUACUCAUGCAAAUCAUCCCCGAUUGCUUGGACUGUUUGUUAUGCUUCAGCUGCAUCCUCACUCAUUUCUCAUGAGUCUCUUCUACCAUUGGAGCAGGGCAGUGCCCAGACAAAUGACACAGUAGGAGGCUCUGAUCAAGACAGCUAUGUGGAGUAUGGGCAUCCCUUGCUCAGAAACCAUCGCUGGCUCUCUGCUGCCAAUAGGAUCAACCAAAUGAAUCAACAAGCGGCUGCUCAGUGAUCCAUAUGCUGGGCUGGGAUCUGGGAGUCCAAAGAAUAAAACGGAUCCCCGCUUUCAAGACAAAUGCACAUGGAAGCAGGUUUAUUGGCAUCGCAAAGGUGUUAACUGAACUAAAUGUGAUCGACUUCAUUCGGCUUGGACUUCAUGGUGGCCUGUGAGUGUCCUGAUAAGAACGGCUACAACAUCCUCCUCAAUAAUUUUUUAUUUGAUGCAUCUUGCCUGGAACAGAACAAGACUCGUUGCUAUGAGAUGCCCUGGACUCUGGAAAAAGAAAAAAAAAAGGAAAAGAAAAUCCUCUCCAGAAAGCCACUCUAGCCACAAGAAUGCUCUCCGUUCACUUCCCUGUGUCUGAGAUGAAGGUGUUGUGGCUGGAACUGAAGCACGCCGGUUAACUGUUUGGAAGGGAAUAGUAGAACCAUUGGCAAAGACUGGCGCUGGAAGUUCGCUUUUUGAAUUUUGAUGAAGAGAAGAGAGAUUCGGGACACAAGAAACUUCUCUCCCCACUUAGAAAAGGAGCACACUAUCUCAAGUCCAGCUCUCAAAAGGCAAGAUCUAAAUAAAGAUGAAGAUGUGGGCAAGGAAGAAUUUUAAUAAAAAUAGAAACAAAACCCCACUGCGACUAUAUUUCUUCAGCCUCCUGGAGCUUCACAGCACCCACUGUGUCCCUGCAUGGACCCUGAGAAGCAAAAGAAGGACCGGUGAACAUUGUACGCAUUAGGAGAUAGCACUUGGCAGUACAUGGAAUGAGAAAAUCUCAAGCUGGGAGGUGUCUUGGAGACUAGCGAGGUGGAAACCGUUAAUCAGAUGGGACUGGCCAGCUGGCAGCAGGGAGGCAGGAAGGGCAGAGGCCGCGGAGGGCAUUGGCCGCGGAGGGCAGAGGCCGCGGAGGGCAGCCCACGGAGGGCAGCCCACGGAGGGGCCGGGGCCCAGCAGGAAGGAAGGAAAGGCAGGAAGGAAGGAAAGAAAGGAAGAAAGAAAGAGGGAGACCCAUCUUUUGCUUCCUCCUUUCCUCUGGUCGACUGGGACUUCAGGGAGGACCACAAGAUCUUGUUCACCAAUUGGCCCUUUAAGAAGAUGAUCCAGAAGAGACAGCAUGACACAGUGAAUAGGGGGCCAGCCUCAAGGUCACAACAAUCUGGGUCCAAAUCUCACGUUUGACAUAUGACCUUGGGUAGUCACUUAACUUCUAAGACUUGAAAUUGCAGAGCUGUUGUCACUGUGCAUUGUAGAGAAUGUCUCUGUAAUAGGAGGCUCCCUACAGGGACAAAACCACAGCUCAUGGGGAGAAAAUAGUUUUUUUGGCAGGAAUUGAAGUCAAGAUUACUGCUUGAUUUCACUCCCUUCCCUUUGGUUGAAAUUUGUGAUCUUUGACCUUUUAUAGUCUGAGGACACCAUUGCCAUUCUCUGUUGUUUUUUGAAGAUCUCUGAUAGUAGCUCAGAAUUCACAACUAUUGUUUCUUCUAAUGGCUUAAUCCUGAAGUUCAUGGGGGCUGGGUGACUUCUACUCCCUAAGGAAGAGUAGGUCCUCUCUUCCUACCUCCCCUCUUAUUUAAGCUGAAUAUGCCUCUUAGACAUUUUUAUUGUGUUUUCUCCUUCAAAAUUCAUUCUCCCUGACAGAGGAAGCAAAAGCAGAAUAUGAAUCCUGUAGAUCUCCCUUUUUUCUGUAGCCUAUUAUCUCUACUCUGUCCAUCCUGAGCAGCAGUCCUAGCCUCUUUGCUUUUUAAAAAGAGAGAGAGAGACCCCUUUUGUGUCAUCUUGUGCUUUUCUCCAUAGGCUGAGCUUGUUGGGAGCAUUUUUAUUCAUGCACAAUUUUUCCGGGCCUGUAUCAUGCUCUAGUCUUAAUCUUAUUACCUAGCCUACUUCCUUCUGUUUUGGUUGCUUCUGCAGAUCUGCAUCAUUACUAUUUGAAGCUUAAGAAAUGGCUUCCUUCUAAGCAGAUCCAGUCCCCUCCUGCCUACUCCAUCCCCCAUCUUUCCUGAGAAGAACUCUCCAAAUGGACCUCCUCAUCCAGUCAAUGAGCCAAGAAUAACACACAUGAAAUGGCAGCAAACAAUAGAAAACAGAAUAUGAUUAAUUGAACUGUACAUUGCAGACAAUAAGAGCAGAAGAAGUUCAGAAGGGACCAAGAUCAGGGAGGACUUGGGUAAUCAGGAAAGGGUUUGGAGAGUGGGUGGGUUUUAGAUAAUGAAUUCCAUGUUUCUUUAAGAAUGAUAGAGUUUGGGGGGAUUUUGUUCCUGAUUCCUCAAUUGGCCUUAUUGUUGGGGGGAGGGGAAUAAAAGUCUAAUUGGUU